rnacentral:rRNA from 1 species
GACGAACGCUGGCGGCGUGCUUAACACAUGCAAGUCGAACGAUGAACCCGGAGCUUGCUCCGGUGGAUUAGUGGCGAACGGGUGAGUAACACGUGAGUAACCUGCCCUUGACUUUGGGAUAACUGCGGGAAACUGUAGCUAAUACCGGAUACGACCCUCGGCGGCAUCGCCAGGGGGUGGAAAGAAUUUCGGUCAAGGAUGGACUCGCGGCCUAUCAGCUAGUUGGUGAGGUAACGGCUCACCAAGGCGACGACGGGUAGCCGGCCUGAGAGGGUGACCGGCCACACUGGGACUGAGACACUGCCCAGACUCCUACGGGAGGCAGCAGUGGGGUAUAUUGCACAAUGGGCGCAAGCCUGAUGCAGCAACGCCGCGUGAGGGAUGACGGCCUUCGGGUUGUAAACCUCUUUCAGCACCGACGAAGCGCAAGUGACGGUAGGUGCAGAAGAAGGACCGGCCAACUACGUGCCAGCCGCCGCGGUAA